GAUGAACGCUGGCGGCGUGCCUAAUACAUGCAAGUCGAGCGAACAGACGAGGAGCUUGCUCCUCUGACGUUAGCGGCGGACGGGUGAGUAACACGUGGAUAACCUACCUAUAAGACUGGGAUAACUUCGGGAAACCGGAGCUAAUACCGGAUAAUAUAUUGAACCGCAUGGUUCAAUAGUGAAAGACGGUUUUGCUGUCACUUAUAGAUGGAUCCGCGCCGCAUUAGCUAGUUGGUAAGGUAACGGCUUACCAAGGCAACGAUGCGUAGCCGACCUGAGAGGGUGAUAGGCCGCACUGGAACUGAGACACGGUCCAGACUCCUACGGGAGGCAGCAGUAGGGAAUCUUCCGCAAUGGGCGAAAGCCUGACGGAGCAACGCCGCGUGAGUGAUGAAGGUCUUCGGAUCGUAAAACUCUGUUAUUAGGGAAGAACAAAUGUGUAAGUAACUAUGCACGUCUUGACGGUACCUAAUCAGAAAGCCACGGCUAACUACGUG
rnacentral:rRNA from 1 species